rnacentral:rRNA from 1 species
UACGUAGGGGGCAAGCGUUGUCCGGAUUUAUUGGGCGUAAAGAGCGUGUGGGCGGCUUUGCAAGUCCGUUGUGAAAACUCGAGGCUCAACCUCGAGACGCCGGUGGAAACUGCAAAGCUAGAGUCCGGAAGAGGAGAGUGGAAUUCCUGGUGUAGCGGUGAAAUGCGCAGAUAUCAGGAAGAACACCCGUGGCGAAGGCGGAUCUCUGGGACGGUACUGACGCUGAGACGCGAAAGCGUGGGGAGCGAACAGG